CACGGGGGGGGCAAGCGUUGUUCGGAAUUACUGGGCGUAAAGGGCUCGUAGGCGGCCAACUAAGUCAGACGUGAAAUCCCUCGGCUUAACCGGGGAACUGCGUCUGAUACUGGAUGGCUUGAGGUUGGGAGAGGGAUGCGGAAUUCCAGGUGUAGCGGUGAAAUGCGUAGAUAUCUGGAGGAACACCGGUGGCGAAGGCGGCAUCCUGGACCAAUUCUGACGCUGAGUGAGCGAAAGCCAGGGGAGCAAACAGG
rnacentral:rRNA from 1 species